GACAGAGGGUGCAAACGUUGUUCGGAAUUACUGGGCGUAAAGCGUGUGUAGGCGGCCAUGUAAGUCAGGUGUGAAAGCCCCGGGCUCAACCCGGGAAGUGCACUUGAUACUGCGUGGCUUGAGUACUGGAGAGGUUGGUGGAAUUCUCGGUGUAGAGGUGAAAUGCGUAGAUAUCUGGAGGAAUACCGGUGGCGAAGGCGGCAUCCUGGACCGACAUUGACGCUGAAUACCGAAAGCUAGGGGAGCAAACGGG
rnacentral:rRNA from 1 species